GUAAAACAAAAGGUAUCGAAGGAAGUAGAAACAAAAGGUAUCGAAUGAAGUAGAAACAAAAGGUAUCGAAGGAAGUAGAAACAAAAGGUAUCGAAUGAAGUAGAAACAAAAGGUACAGAAGGAAGUAGAAACAAAAGGUAUCGAAUGAAGUAGAAACAAAAGGUAUCGAAUAAAGUAGAAACCAGAAGGUAUCGAACGAAGUAGAAACAAGGUAUCGAAGGAAGUAGAAACCAGAAGGUAUCGAAGGAAG